CGCCGCUGCUCCGCGGUCACGCGCCGGAAGUGAGUUUGAGUAGAGUUGAGUUUGCAGAAGUUCUGAGUCACUGCAGUGCAGCAGGUCAUUAGAUUCACUUCUGCACUUUAAACUCUCCUGCUGCACAUGCAGAUUUACACCGACAUGCACGUGCUUACUGACGAGUGUAUGAUGGAGAUACUGUUGCUGAAGACGAUCACAGGUCAGUGUGUGCGUCAGACUCAGACAGACAGAGUUGGUGUUGUGGCACUCAGGCGAGCAGACAGACAUCUGUCCCCAUGGCAACAGCCUCAGUCUCCUGCUAUGGACUUCCUGUGAGUGAGACAGACGCCGGCGGCUCUUUAUUUCUCCGUCUCUCUGGAGAUGUAAAUAUGAGACGCUGAUUUGAAGAGCGCUUGACAAUAAUGAAGGUGUGAUGGAAAGACUUUUAGAGCAGAUGUGAUCGAACCUCUGGAAUCAUCUGCAGGCAUGACUGCGUUUCAUCAGACUCAUCAGUAUUCAACAGACGGAGGCGGACGAGGCUUUGAUGUCAUUGUGUGACACUGGAGAAGCUCUUCAGAGACCAUCUGAAUUAUUUGCUGUUUAUUGUUUUAUUUGACAGGGACAAUACAGCAUAAUAUUGCUGCACAAUUGUGAGCUCUAUAUUGCAUAUGUUUUAUAUUUUAUUUAUAACCUUCUAUAAUAAAAUGUCAUAACUGGAUCUUGCAGUGAAGCAUCAGUCUUCUCUCUGGUGAUGUGUGCGGGAUUCUCCAAUCAUUGAGUGUGAUUUAAGCUCCGCCCCUGCAGCUCACGCUCAUCUGCAUACACUGUUCAGAGCCUCGCCCAUCAUCUCAACAGCCAAUCAACAACUGAUGCACAGAACCAAGCCCCACCCUACAUUUAUUGUUG